CUUGAAAUACAAAAUUGUCACAAUAUUGGUGUUUCUACGUCUUCUUCUUUUACAUACAUAGACUCCAAUCUUUUAGUUAUUACCCCAUAAACCCAGACAUCUUACAUCCUUGCCAUAGUGUUAUCGCAUAGAAAGGUUGUUGGGUUGGACAUUUCUGUGCCGGUUAGCAAAUAUUCGAUAUGUGCAAGCGCGUACGACCUGUACGUGGAACCGGUUGAAUUUUUUGGAACGUACUUUUCCUUGUUUCGACCUUCAAAAUCCUAUUUUUCAUUCAACACUUACACUGGAAAAUGCUUC
rnacentral:lncRNA from 1 species